UCACCUCGCAGCCCCUGGGGCCGCGGAUCGUCGCGCCCCCCUCCUUUGACGGCACCACCAUGAGCUUCGUGGUGGAGCACAGAUGAUGGCCACCAGAAAGCCGGAGGGAGCAGCUGCUGGAGCAAGACAGAAAGAUGGACAAACCUUCUUAAAUCUGAAGGCUUCGUUGUAACAACACUAAGAAUCACCUGAAAAACUUCCUCUAGAUAUGUUGUUCUUAGUUUUUGCUUCUUAUAAACAAGUGUGUAAGUUUCUAUAUUUUUCUGAAUAACCCUGUUAAGACAGUUUGUGUUAUUGCUGAUUGAAUGGUUGCAUUUUUUCAUAUGUAAAACUAUUUCCUUUUGUACUUUAAUAUAAGCUUUCCCUUCAUCUUUCCUUCCUGCAUUUGUGACUAGGCAAACCAUCUCUUACAUGUUCUUGUAGUUCAGUCAAAACAUACAACAGAAUAAGAUUGGUUUUAUUGUAUACAAAACUAGCAAAUCAGUCAUUUGGAUCACAAAUCUCCCUACAGAUUCUUGGAAUAUAUCAGGACUGGCUGGCAGAGUUGUAGCAUUUGUCUGGGUUUAAAUAUGAUGAGUCUGUAUUUUGAAUCAUAGACCAGCCAAGCCUAGUCAUUCUCUUGGUUAUGUUUUACUUGUCCUUUUAUUGGGUUUAGCAUGAUUUCAAAUGUGAUUGUGAAAAACAGUGGUUUUAACUUUUGUGCCUUGUUUUAACUUUCCCAUUGGUACGAUGCCAUGACACUAUUUGUUGCCUUAAAGUAGAAUGGUUUGAAAGACUGGAGAGCCAGUGGUUGCAUUUAAGAUUAAGGUCUUGAUUUCAGAAAGGUAUAAAAUAUCUGUUUCCCUCUAGAAUCCAAGCUUUGCUAUGAGUGUGGGAGAUUAUAUUCUUCUUUAAUGAUUCCCUCUAUAGUUGCAUACUCCUCUCUCUCACAGAUUGUUUGGAGUCUGAAGUGUGACCUGUUUCGGGUAGUGGAGUAGAAAGUGAACUCUGAUUCUCUGACUCUCUCUAGCACUCACCAUACCAAGAGCAGUGAUCUAGGUUUGUAUCACUUGCUCCUUAUGGUUCUAAGAGAUGUCGAGAAUCCAAAUCAUAGAAUCUUUCAUUGACAUUCAGUACUGCCUCAGUUGUAGCCCACUUCUGAAGGUUACUUUAGUGAGUGUUCAUGGUAAGUUUUGAAGAGCUGAUUGAACAGAUAAAUAUUUAGCUAAUCAUAAUUUAUAAGUGAGUCAAUAUAUAUUCAACAAUGUUAAUUGGAAUAUUUCUUACUUUUAAAAAGAAUAACUUGAAGGUUCUCCUGGGCUUUUCAAAAGAGGAAUCUCCUCUUAUUUACUUACUUUUUCAAAGAUAAAGCAUUCUGGUAAUUUUUUAAGCCUUCUUUUUAUUUUAUUGAUCAUCAAUAUUGAUUUUUGCUUAAAUUACAUCUUGAAACCACAGAAUUUUAUACUGUUCAUGACUGAAGAUAGUUAUGCUUCCAUCUCAGUUGUACUCUUUAAAAAAAAACCUCAAUUUCAUAUUCAGGGCCUUCCUGAAAGAGAUCUUACUCUGAAAAGAAGUUCUUUUGGGUAAAAGGAAGGGUUUGAGACAGGAAUAGUCAGCUCUGGUCACAAUUCAAUCAGUCAUUGGGCUGAUGAGCUAUGAAAUGAGGAGACUGCCUCUAUGAGAUAUGGAGCAUGAAAUAUGAAAUAGUCUCUGUAUUUGGAAAAGAUGCCCUUGUGCCAUAAUUGGGGGAAGUGUUAUUCCUUGGUUAUAGACAUCAUAUUACUCAACUCCACCAACAGAUUCACCCCAGAACUUAAUUUUUCAUUACUAGGAAGUGUCUCUCACAGCAUCAGCCCUUCCUUAUAUUCAGUAGAGAUGUCCUGGGUCUGGGUCACUUAAUACUGAAACAAGAAUGUAGACUCAGCUAAAGAUCUCAAACAUAAUGCUCAAAUAACUUACAAUGCUUUCAGAACACUGAAAUCUCGAGUAUUGAACAUAUUCUGUGAAACUCAGAUAGAAUUUCAUAGCUAGAGCCAGAAUUGACAAGACUGUUUCAAAACUACAUGUGAUUCUUAGGAAAAUCCAGUGCUGGUCUUAAGUAGUCAACUAUUUCCAGGUCUCCAAAAAGAGAGACAUCUCCUUUCCUAGAGAAUGUGGUGGUGCCUUACCUACCAAGGCUCUGGGGAUCCCAUAAGCUACUAUCACUAUUUAUCAUUCUUUUUCUCUAACAGAUCUGAGCCUCAAAUUUUCACAUUGAGGUAAACUAAGAAAGAAAGAACUUUUCAUUUGUUGGCCCUAUCAGAGAGGCCACAUCCUCUGAGAAGCUGCUUUGGUUGUAGUAAAUGUCCAAGUAGUUAAAAAAGUGAUUUUAAAGUAGUGUUCUAUGAACACAAUAUCAUCUGUGAUAAUUUCAUGGUUCUCUAUUUCGUCAAGCCAUAAAAACCAAAGCUGCCAGGCAAUUUACCACCUCAAAUGAUAGAGGGGGACAUUUUUAAAAACAUGAGGUAAAUCUAAAUCCUCACUUUUCAUUGUUUUAUUUCUUGAGGUUGUGUUGAUAUUUGAAUGAAGUAGUUGUGUCCUUCCUUAUUCAAUGAAAGCUAAGUAGAAAAAGCCAAGAGUAUAUGAAACCUUCUGGCCCAUAAAACCAUCACCGUAACAGUGUCCUUUCAGCUACCAAGCUACCUUUUUAUGGUUUAAAUACACAAAACCACUAAUAAAGCAUGUAACAUUUCCUAUAGGGUGCCUGGAGCUUGACUCUAAUUAGAAUUGCAGAGUCUGGCUUUUGCCAUCUCUUCUUGGGGUUACAUGUGAAAUGUAGUUUUCCAGAUGAACCUUAGGGCAUUUUGCGUAGAAAUCUUGCCCCAUUUCCCCUUUUUCCCUGUUGGUCAAACAGUCAGGUUGAAAUAUGCUCCUUUUGAAUUGUUGUUGGAAAACUGAACAAAUUUGUAACCAGUACAACAAUUUAAUUCACCAGAAUGUAUUUUAUUGAAAAACACUCUCUGAAAUUGCUCUCAGGAUGAAGUGAAGCCCAAAUAUGCAGUUGAUGACUUAACAUAUUGGCUCUCUGUAUGUCUGUCUGCAUCUAUGUUAUGUCUGUAUGUGUAUGGCUCUCUGGAUAUCAUUGAGCAAAUAAGCUAAAACAAAUUACACUUUGACAUCUUUAUGAUGAAUCUUAAAUGUUAACAUGCACUUCAAAACCAUCCUUAUGUCACUCUGAAAUAUGUAGCUAUAUAAAUCAUUUUAAUUUCAGAUUUGAUUUCAUCAUUCUUGCCUCUUAAAGAGAUUUAAUGCAUUUAAAUUAUUUUCAUAUUUCAUAGAAAUGAAAGUCUGUGUUUGCCACAAAUUGAAUGCUCAUGCUACCUGAAAUAAUACUUUGGACUGCAGGACAGUGUUGAUUCUUAAGUAGACUGACUAAAAUCUCAUGAUAAGUAUAUAUUAUAUGUGCAUGAGAGGACACAUUCGGUAAUAGUCUCUGUGUUUUAAAACCAUCACGGUACACAUUUUCCUAUGUGGUGCUUGAGGAGUUUCAUUCUACAGUUUACAAGGUGUAGAUUUGCACCCCAAAUUCUCAGGGUAUGCUAUUUUACCCAAAUACUUGAAAGAAAAAGGUGCCCUGUAUUUUAUCAGUACUGUUGAGGGGAAAAAUUAUGUGUAGGUUUGUUUUAGAACACUACUUAUAAAAAUAAAAUUUACAGAAUAUGUUAGGCUUUUACAUAAUUUCUAAAGAGGUAUAUGUAGAGAUAUGAUAUAUAUUUUCAAGAGACUGUUUCUAUAUUCUUAACUAAUUUCUGGGUCCUAAGUAGACCUCACAGGUGCAUAAAAUCAUUAAUAAAGCAUGUAGCAUUUGCUAAGUUGUACCUUGAGUUUGAAUCUGAUAAGAAUUGCAGACUCCGGUCCUCUGGGGGAAAAAUAAAAACACAGGUCCAUCUGUGGCACGUGUGAUUACAAGGCCCAGGGGAGGAUUCUGAAAACUGGAGUAUUGACAUACCCCAUGUCUCAGAAGAGAACUGAACCUUCACAGCAUUUGUAAGCAGUUACCAUUCUUGUUUCAUGUUGCAACUUAGAGCAUAUUAUUAGUUGUAUUCGUAUUUGAUUCAUAAUGGUGCAAAAUAAAACACACACACAACACAUCAAAUUUGAUUUCUUUUUUUAAGUUUCAUACUUGCUUUUUACAAGCUAAUGUUAAUAGUAAAAAGUCCCUUCUAGGGCUUCCUGAAAUUACCUAUCAUCCCUGUAUACUUUUCCUAGCAGGUAGUCCUUUCUUUUUCUCCCCCUUUGAAGAUGUUGGUUUCUAUAUUUACACUGAACUCAUUUUAUUGUACAGUAAAGACAGUGGUGGUUGAAAAGAAUGUGAAGACUGAGGAAGUUAGGUCCCAAACAAAGGAGAGUAAAUUGUGUGGUAAAUGGAGAAAGAUGUUGGGUAACGCUGAACAUACCCCUGACUAUGAAAAAAGCCAGUGGGAAAUGGAAAGAAGGUGACUAUUUAAACUGCUCUCAUGAUAGAAAUCUUGGUGGAAGAGUUCCUACUUGAGAUCUGAUGUGAUUAAAUUAUGGAAUGCAGUGAGCAUGCCCAGUGGGACUGUGAAUCCAGCCCAAAAGCUCUGAGAAUUACUUUGUCAGUGUAUUGCAUAUGGAGAAAACUACUUAGACAAGGACUCUGUGAGACUAGCCUACUUACCUUUAAUUGACUGCAUUUGUAAGUGAUUGUGCGAUCUUGUGUAAUGGUCUUUUGAUUCUUUUGAAAAAAAAUGUUUUGUUGUUGUUGUUUUUUCCAGUAAAAGUAAAUGCAAAGAAAAUGUG